GGAGAGGUACCGAAGCGGUCAUAACGGCGCCGACUCGAAAUCGGAUGGGGAGCAUUGCUCCCACGAGGGUUCGAAUCCCUCCCUCUCCG
rfam:Gammaproteobacteria bacterium RIFCSPHIGHO2_12_FTLL_37_14 rifcsphigho2_12_scaffold_865, whole genome shotgun sequence.